GCGCCCGUAGCUCAGCGGAAGAGCGACCGCCUUCUAAGCGGUGGGUCGGGGGUUCAAAUCCCUCCGGGCGCGCCA
rnacentral:tRNA from 1 species